rnacentral:rRNA from 1 species
AACGAACGCUGGCGGCAUGCCUAACACAUGCAAGUCGAACGAGACCUUCGGGUCUAGUGGCGCACGGGUGCGUAACGCGUGGGAACCUGCCCUUAGGUUCGGAAUAACUCCCCGAAAGGGGUGCUAAUACCGGAUAAUGUCUUCGGACCAAAGAUUUAUCGCCUUUGGAUGGGCCCGCGUUGGAUUAGCUAGUUGGUAGGGUAAAAGCCUACCAAGGCGACGAUCCAUAGCUGGUCUGAGAGGAUGAUCAGCCACACUGGGACUGAGACACGGCCCAGACUCAUACGGGAGGAAGCAGUGGGGAAUAUUGGACAAUGGGCGAAAGCCUGAUCCAGCAAUGCCGCGUGAGUGAUGAAGGCCUUAGGGUUGUAAAGCUCUUUUACCCGGGAUGAUAAUGACAGUACCGGGAGAAUAAGCUCCGGCUAACUCCGUG